GGGUUGUGAGGUUAAGCGACUAAGCGUACACGGUGGAUGCCCUGGCAGUCAGAGGCGAUGAAGGACGUGCUAAUCUGCGAUAAGCGCCGGUAAGGUGAUAUGAACCGUUAUAACCGGCGAUUUCCGAAUGGGGAAACCCAGUGUGACUCGUCACACUAUCAUUAACUGAAUCCAUAGGUUAAUGAGGCGAACCGGGGGAACUGAAACAUCUAAGUACCCCGAGGAAAAGAAAUCAACCGAGAUUCCCCCAGUAGCGGCGAGCGAACGGGGAGGAGCCCAGAGCCUGAAUCAGCAUGUGUGUUAGUGGAAGCGUCUGGAAAGGCGCGCGAUACAGGGUGACAGCCCCGUACACAAAAGCGCAUGUGCUGUGAGCUCGAUGAGUAGGGCGGGACACGUGGUAUCCUGUCUGAAUAUGGGGGGACCAUCCUCCAAGGCUAAAUACUCCUGACUGACCGAUAGUGAACCAGUACCGUGAGGGAAAGGCGAAAAGAACCCCGGCGAGGGGAGUGAAAAAGAACCUGAAACCGUGUACGUACAAGCAGUGGGAGCACAGGUUUACCUGUGUGACUGCGUACCUUUUGUAUAAUGGGUCAGCGACUUAUAUUCUGUAGCAAGGUUAACCGCAUAGGGGAGCCGCAGGGAAACCGAGUCUUAACCGGGCGUUAAGUUGCAGGGUAUAGACCCGAAACCCGGUGAUCUAGCCAUGGGCAGGUUGAAGGUUGGGUAACACUAACUGGAGGACCGAACCGACUAAUGUUGAAAAAUUAGCGGAUGACCUGUGGCUGGGGGUGAAAGGCCAAUCAAACCGGGAGAUAGCUGGUUCUCCCCGAAAGCUAUUUAGGUAGCGCCUCGUGAAUUCAUCUCCGGGGGUAGAGCACUGUUUCGGCUAGGGGGUCAUCCCGACUUACCAACCCGAUGCAAACUGCGAAUACCGGAGAAUGUUAUCACGGGAGACACACGGCGGGUGCUAACGUCCGUCGUGAAGAGGGAAACAACCCAGACCGCCAGCUAAGGUCCCAAAGUCAUGGUUAAGUGGGAAACGAUGUGGGAAGGCCCAGACAGCCAGGAUGUUGGCUUAGAAGCAGCCAUCAUUUAAAGAAAGCGUAAUAGCUCACUGGUCGAGUCGGCCUGCGCGGAAGAUGUAACGGGGCUAAACCAUGCACCGAAGCUGCGGCAGCGAACGUAUCACCCAAGACAACUUUGCGGAGUUGACGAUUGACGGAGCGAAGCGACGUCAAAGCGUUCAUUAAAGUCGAGUUGGCUUAGGGAUACGUUCGUUGGGUAGGGGAGCGUUCUGUAAGCCUGUGAAGGUGUGCUGUGAGGCAUGCUGGAGGUAUCAGAAGUGCGAAUGCUGACAUAAGUAACGAUAAAGCGGGUGAAAAGCCCGCUCGCCGGAAGACCAAGGGUUCCUGUCCAACGUUAAUCGGGGCAGGGUGAGUCGACCCCUAAGGCGAGGCCGAAAGGCGUAGUCGAUGGGAAACGGGUUAAUAUUCCCGUACUUGGUGUUACUGCGAAGGGGGGACGGAGAAGGCUAUGUUGGCCGGGCGACGGUUGUCCCGGUUUAAGCGUGUAGGCUGGUUUUCCAGGCAAAUCCGGAAAAUCAAGGCUGAGGCGUGACGACGAGGCACUACGGUGCUGAAGCAACAAAUGCCCUGCUUCCAGGAAAAGCCUCUAAGCAUCAGGUAACAUCAAAUCGUACCCCAAACCGACACAGGUGGUCAGGUAGAGAAUACCAAGGCGCUUGAGAGAACUCGGGUGAAGGAACUAGGCAAAAUGGUGCCGUAACUUCGGGAGAAGGCACGCUGACAUGUAGGUGAAGUGAUUUACUCAUGGAGCUGAAGUCAGUCGAAGAUACCAGCUGGCUGCAACUGUUUAUUAAAAACACAGCACUGUGCAAACACGAAAGUGGACGUAUACGGUGUGACGCCUGCCCGGUGCCGGAAGGUUAAUUGAUGGGGUCAGCGCAAGCGAAGCUCCUGAUCGAAGCCCCGGUAAACGGCGGCCGUAACUAUAACGGUCCUAAGGUAGCGAAAUUCCUUGUCGGGUAAGUUCCGACCUGCACGAAUGGCGUAAUGAUGGCCAGGCUGUCUCCACCCGAGACUCAGUGAAAUUGAACUCGCUGUGAAGAUGCAGUGUACCCGCGGCAAGACGGAAAGACCCCGUGAACCUUUACUAUAGCUUGACACUGAACAUUGAGCCUUGAUGUGUAGGAUAGGUGGGAGGCUUUGAAGCGUGGACGCCAGUCUGCGUGGAGCCGACCUUGAAAUACCACCCUUUAAUGUUUGAUGUUCUAACGUGGACCCGUUACCCGGGUUGCGGACAGUGUCUGGUGGGUAGUUUGACUGGGGCGGUCUCCUCCUAAAGAGUAACGGAGGAGCACGAAGGUUGGCUAAUCCUGGUCGGACAUCAGGAGGUUAGUGCAAUGGCAUAAGCCAGCUUGACUGCGAGCGUGACGGCGCGAGCAGGUGCGAAAGCAGGUCAUAGUGAUCCGGUGGUUCUGAAUGGAAGGGCCAUCGCUCAACGGAUAAAAGGUACUCCGGGGAUAACAGGCUGAUACCGCCCAAGAGUUCAUAUCGACGGCGGUGUUUGGCACCUCGAUGUCGGCUCAUCACAUCCUGGGGCUGAAGUAGGUCCCAAGGGUAUGGCUGUUCGCCAUUUAAAGUGGUACGCGAGCUGGGUUUAGAACGUCGUGAGACAGUUCGGUCCCUAUCUGCCGUGGGCGCUGGAGAACUGAGGGGGGCUGCUCCUAGUACGAGAGGACCGGAGUGGACGCAUCACUGGUGUUCGGGUUGUCAUGCCAAUGGCACUGCCCGGUAGCUAAAUGCGGAAGAGAUAAGUGCUGAAAGCAUCUAAGCACGAAACUUGCCCCGAGAUGAGUUCUCCCUGAGACUUUAGGUCUCCUGAAGGAACGUUGAAGACGACGACGUUGAUAGGCCGGGUGUGUAAGCGCAGCGAUGCGUUGAGCUAACCGGUACUAAUGAACCGUGAGGCUUAACCUUACAACGCCGAAG
rnacentral:rRNA from 3 species